rnacentral:rRNA from 1 species
UUCGGAUUGUAGUCUGCAACCCGACUACAUGAAGCUGGAAUCGCUAGUAAUCGCAGGUCAGCAUACUGCGGUGAAUACGUUCCCGGGUCUUGUACACACCGCCCGUCACACCAUGGGAGCCGGAAAUGCCCGAAGCCAGUGACCCAACCUUAGGGAGGGAGCUGUCGAAGGUGGAGCCGGUAACUGGGGUGAAGUCGUAACAAGGUAGC